CCCCAACAGGAUGCAAUACACAGCUAGCCCAUCACAGGAAUCUCCAGCUGAUGAUGAAGAGGAAUUGCACUAUGCAUCCCUUGACCAUCUCGGAAAACCAAAGACGAGGAUUUUUGAUAGGCAGAGUGACGUCAAUGCAACCUACAGCGCCGUGAUGCCCUCUGCUGGUGACAAAAGGCACAACAACAGGCCUGCUGACCCCAACGCUCUCUAUGCCACUGUGCAGAAGAAAGACAACCCUUAGACCAGGGGUGGGGAGCCUAUGGUUUACUAUGUAAUUUGAAUGUUAAGCAGUUUCAUAUGGAAUAUGAUAUUUUUUGUGAAGAAAUCUUAGAAAUUACAUUUGCAAUACAAUUAAGUUAUAUUUUUCAGGGAAUCAAGUGAAGGUGGGGUCUGUUGUAAAAGUGGCUGGCAAUAUAGGCCUAAAGUGGAGGGGGAAAUCCCGGUUUGUGUUCAUACUACUAAGGCCCUUGGAAGACUUCAUAAAAUUUGAAGUGGCCCCUCAAAUGAAAACGGUUCCCCGCCCCUUUCUUCGCUCACAUGUACAUGUAUUCUGUGUGACCUCUGCUGUAACAUGUUAAUUGGCACAGUUUGGAAAGCAAACUUUUUUUUUGCACAUCAUUUUUGGGUCAUUUUGGGUGUUGAUGGGAGGCUGAGUUUCAUUGUACAGUAUGUGUGUCAUUUGUAUUGUGCAUUCUAUUCACAGGAAAUAAUUGAGCAAAACCUUAGAGGUUAUGUGUGAAAUAUUUUCCCAUCUGUAUUUAUGUAAAAUAUAUCUAUUUUACAGUGGACUUUCUAUAAUUUAGGUGGGACGGUAUCUGAUACAUUGUUUCUGCUCUAGGCACAGAGCAUAACCCGUUAAAACACGCCGUAAUAAUUUGCUGUGACCAGAAUGGCAAUGGCCGAGUCGUAGUGCAUUACUAAAGGCCCUGUGUGGAGUAGUACAAUCUACAACCUUUCAAUGACUAUUACAGCGUGCCACUGGCGGUACGGCGUGCAAUAAGGGGAUACAUUACCUUGUUUCCAAUGGCCAAGCUUUUGUGUUCAUUAUUAUUUUAUUUAUACACAUAUAUGUCUUAAAAUAUAUAUUUUUUAUAUUCAAAUAAUAAGCAGUACUUUUCAAAUGUAAAAAAUACACAGUUUUUAGGAUUACUGUAUACCAUUGCAGAUGCUUUUCUUUGAAAUAAUGCUCAUAUUUCUGUUCCUAU